rnacentral:rRNA from 1 species
UUGCACGCUGGCGGCAUGCUUUACACCUGCAAGUCGCACGGCAGCGCGGGCUUCGGCCUGGCGGCGAGUGGCGAACGGGUGAGUAAUACAUCGGAACGUGCCCAGUAGUGGGGGAUAGCUCGGCGAAAGCCGGAUUAAUACCGCAUACGACCUGAGGGUGAAAGCGGGGGAUCUUCGGACCUCGCGCUAUUGGAGCGGCCGAUGGCAGAUUAGCUAGUUGGUGGGGUAAAGGCCUACCAAGGCGACGAUCUGUAGCUGGUCUGAGAGGACGACCAGCCACACUGGGACUGAGACACGGCCCAGACUCCUACGGGAGGCAGCAGUGGGGAAUUUUGGACAAUGGGCGAAAGCCUGAUCCAGCAAUGCCGCGUAUGUGAUGAAGGCCUUCGGGUUGUAAAGCACUUUUGGCGGGAACGAAAAGGACUGUGCCAAUACCACGGUUCGAUGACGGUACCCGCAGAAUAAGCACCGGCUAACUACGUG